rnacentral:rRNA from 1 species
UACGUAGGUGGCAAGCGUUAUCCGGAAUUAUUGGGCGUAAAGCGCGCGCAGGUGGUUUCUUAAGUCUGAUGUGAAAGCCCACGGCUCAACCGUGGAGGGUCAUUGGAAACUGGGAGACUUGAGUGCAGAAGAGGAAAGUGGAAUUCCAUGUGUAGCGGUGAAAUGGCGUAGAGAUAUGGAGGAACACCAGUGGCGAAGGCGACUUUCUGGUCUGUAACUGACACUGAGGCGCGAAGGCCAGGGAGGCAAACGGG